GUCUGGUGUGUGGGAGUCAGGGUUCCAGCUGCAGCUCAUCUACACUAAUCACCUCUGCUACAAAUAUCUGGUCAACCUACCACUCCUCGUUGGAUCAUAGUCAAGACAACACUUCUUGGAACCUGACUCCUGCUGCCACUUCACUCCUGCCAUCCACCAUUCCUGCUCUCUACACUGGAUCUCAGGACUAUUGGACAUGGACACUUGGACAUUACGGUACCACUCCCGCUCUGUACCCUGGAUCUGGAAUCCAUUGGACUUUGCUUUUUCCUGGUUCCAUUCCUGAACUUGAACAUUUGCAAAUAAACCUGUUAAACUUUCA